AGUGAACGCUGGCGGCGUGCCUAAUACAUGCAAGUCGAACGGAGUCGCGCACGGGUGAGUAAUGUAUAGCUAAUCUGCCCUACACUAGAGGACAACAGUUGGAAACGACUGAUAAUACUCAAUAGUGUAGGAUGAGGCUAUAUUGUAUCAGCUAGUUGGUGAGUGAAUGGCUCCCCAAGGCUAUGACGCAUAACAGGUCUGAGAGGAUGACCAGUCACACUGGACGUGAGACACGGUUCAGACUCCUACGAGAGGGAGCAAUAGGGAAUAUUGGGCAAUGGGGGUAAGUCUGAAGCGGCUACGGCGCGUGAAGGAUGACAAUUUGGGGAGCGUAAACUCAUGUUGUUAGGGAACCGGUAUCUAACCAGAAAGCCACGGCUAACUACGUGCCAGCAGCCGCGGUAAUAC
rnacentral:rRNA from 1 species